UACGUAGGGCGCAAGCGUUGUCCGGAAUUAUUGGGCGUAAAGAGCUCGUAGGCGGUCUGUCGCGUCUGCUGUGAAAACCUAGGGCUUAACUCUGGGCGUGCAGUGGGUACGGGCAGGCUAGAGUGCGGUAGGGGGAGACUGGAAUUCCUGGUGUAGCGGUGAAAUGCGCAGAUAUCAGGAGGAACACCGGUGGCGAAGGCGGGUCUCUGGGCCGUAACUGACGCUGAGGAGCGAAAGCAUGGGGAGCGAACAGG
rnacentral:rRNA from 1 species